GUUUACUCUCAUUCUAACUCUCUCAUUUUUGCAGCGCUCCCUCGUUCUCCCUUUCUUCUUCCUCUCCUUCCUCCUACGAAAACUAAUCCCUGAACUUUUAUUUUUCUGCCUUCCUGAGUCUCACCUAUGAUUCUUUCUCACUCUCUCUUCUAAAACUCGAAACCCUAGCCCCUUUCUUUUGAUCUCUUCUUUUUGCUUCUUGAUCUCUUUGCAAUUUUGAAAACUUGAACCCUCAAAUCUCCAACCCUUUGAAACUUCACCAUCCUCUGCUCACUAGUUUCUGAAUCAAUUUAUGGAGAUCUAAAAGGUCUUUUGGCCUCCCCUAAGUGGUUUAGCUUUGACAUCCCGAGAGGACUCGACUGAGACAUGGUGAUGUUUGAACCCACGCAGAUAAGUUCCUCCCGCUCUCUUUCUUUGUUUUGGUUAUUCAUAUUUAUUUAUUUUUUGCUCUUUCUUGAAAUUAUGGUUGUGGAGUAUUGUGUUUUGUGUUGAAAGUGUUGCUCGAAUCUUUCGGAUCUAGGGUUUUUGGUUUAGUUGGGGUUGAUGGUUCACGGUGAAGCACUCAACGAGUUAAGGUGUGAGUGAAAGGGAGUUGACUCAGGUGAGUCACUAGUGUGUGUUUGUGUGACACAGAUACAACCAAGUGAGCCACGUGGGCUCUGUCAUGUGCUCGACUCAUGUGUGGAUCCUUGUUGCGUGCUUGAAUGGAUUGGGCUUGAGUCAAAUGGGUCGGGAUUUUCUUCUUUAAGGAGAGAACCGGGUUUAAAAGGGCCGGCCCGCUUCGUAAACUAGGUCUGGGUUUAUUUAAAAUGGCACGGCCCAUUUGCUUUUUAAGAAAAAAAGAGCUUAGGUCUUUUAAAAAAGGGCCAUCUCAGCUUUGAUUUAAAACAGGCCCGAUAUUUUUGAAAAUUAAAAUGGGCCUGGUAUUUUGAUAAUUCGAGAUGGGCCAGGUUUGUUUUAAAAAACCAGUGGACUUCGGGGUCAGUUUUUUUUUAAAAUUGGGCUGAUUUUAAAAUCUUGGAAGUGGGCUUGGUCGUUUGGGGAGAUCUGAAUGGGAGUUCGGAUUUCAAGUUAGACAUAGUCCGGGUCCGAUGACCCAGUUCAAGGGUUACUUAGUUAGGUUUGAGAGCUUGAACCCGAGUUUGGAUUCAGGUUUAAAAAGAGAUGGGUAUGGGUCUGAGUAAAACUUGAGUUCAGGUUUUUAGUGGUCACCUGAACACUGAGGGGGGUACCUGCACUUACUUAUCAUACAAGAAUUGAACAAUUUCAGCGGGUCCUUGAAUUACACCUUCUUCUUAUCACUCCUUCUUCUUCAAUUCUCCCUCUUUUGGUUAUCUGCUCUGGUGUUUGGUCUAAUGACUGGUCUCCAAACCUCAGCGAUUCUGAGUUUUUCUUUUACUAUUUUCACUGUAUGUUGCAGAACUUCUUUUUGCUAUUAAUUUAACAAAACCUCACCCUUUCUUUAUGAUUUUCUCUCUCAAAUUCAACAGAACCCCCCCUCUACCUUUAUUUAUGCUUUCCUCACUUCUCUCAAUUUCACCAGGGCUUCCCUACUAUCUGAGGGGGUGUCUUUACAGUGUGUAAUAGCUCCCUAUUUAUAAGGAGCCCAGGGGCCUCUUGGCGCCAAACUCUCCCCAUCCUAACGUGAACAUUGGGGAACCCAGGUGGCAUGUAGGAGGGCUUAGAAUCUUGGCCCGGUGGCACCUCGGGGAUAGAGGGCAAAGCAUCUGCUAGGCCUUUUAUUUUUGUAAUUAGUGUAUUCUCCAGUAUACCCCACAUGGUUUUGUAUUGAAAUCAUUGUGUCAUUUUCAUUUUAUUUCCAUGUAUUUUAUUUUCUGUAUUUUUUAUUUUUAUUUUUUUCAUUUUCUGCAUGUGUGUACUCUAUAUAAAAGUUGGGGCACGGGUCCCUCAUGUGAUAUCA